rnacentral:rRNA from 1 species
CUCAUGGAGAGUUUGAUCCUGGCUUAGGAUGAACGCUCGCAGCAUGCUUAACACAUGCAAGUUGAACGGGAAGUGGUGUUUCCAGUGGCGAACGGGUGAGUAACGCAUAAGAACUUGUCCUUGGGAGGGGAACAACAACUGGAAACGGUUGCUAAUACCCCGUAGGCUGAGGAGCAGAAGGAGAAAUCCGCCCAAGGAGGGGCUCACGUCUGAUUAGCUAGUUGGUGAGGUAAUAGCUUACCAAGGCAAUGAUCAGUAGCUGGUCUGAGAGGAUGAUCAGCCACACUGGGACUAAGACAUGGCCCAGACUCCUACGGGAGGCAGCAGUGGGGAAUUUUCCGCAAUGGGCGAAAGCCUGACGGAGCAAUGCCGCGUGAAGGUGGAAGGCCUACGGGUGGUCAACUUCUUUUCUCGGAGAAGAAACAAUGAUGGUAUUUGAGGAAUAAGCAUAGGAUAACUCUGUGCCAGCAGCCAUGGUAAGACAGAGGAUGCAAGCGUUAUUCGGAAUGAUUGGGCAUAAAGCGUCUGUAGGUGGCUUUUCAAGUCCGCCAUCAAAUCGCAGGGCUGAACCCUGGACAAGCGAUGGAAACUACCAAGAUGGAGUACAAUAGGGUCAGAGGGAAUUUCUGGUGGAGCGGUGAAAUGCAUUGAGAUCGGAAAGAACACCAAUGGCGAAAGCACUCUGCUGGGCCGACACUGACACUGAGAGACAAAAGCUAGGGGAGCAAAUGGGAUUAGAGACCCCAGUAGUCCUAGCCGUAAACGAUGGAUACUAGGUGCUAUGCGACUCGACCCAUGCAGUGUUGUAGCAAAUGCAUUAAGUAUCCUGCCUGGGGAGUACGUUCACAAGAAUGAAACUCAAAGUAAUUGACGGGAGCCCGCACAAGCGGUGGAGCAUGUGGUUUAAUUUGAUGCAAAGCGAAGAACCUUACCAGGGCUUGACAUGCCGCGAAUCCUCUUGAAAGAGAGGGGUGCCCUCAGGAACGUGGACACAUGUGGUGCAUGGCUGUCAUCAACUCGUGUCGUAAGGUGUUGGGUUAAGUCUCGCAACGAGUGCAACCCUCGUGUUUAGUUUCUACUAUGAGUUUCGAACCCUGAACAGACCGCCGGUUUUAAGCCGGAGGAAGGAGAGGAUGAGGCCAAGUCAUCAUGCCCCUUAUGCCCCGGGGACACACGUGCUACAAUGGGAGGGACAAAGGUCGCGAUCUCGCGAGGGUGAGCUAAUUCCAAAAACCCGUCCUCAGUUCGGAUUGCAGGCUACAACUCGCCUGCAUGAAGCAGGAAUCGCUAGUAAUCGCCGGUCAGCCAUACGGCGGUGAAUACGUUCCCGAGCCUUGUACAAACCGCCAAUCACACUAUAGGAGCUCGCCAUAUUUGAAGUCAUUACCCUUAACCGUAAGGAGGGGAUGCCUAAGGCUAGGCUUGCGACUGGAGUGAAGUCGUAACAAGGUAGCCGUACUGGAAGGUGCGACUGGAUCACCUCCUUU